UGAGGUUUGGAGGGAUAAGUGGCUUGCUGCAAGUUCCACAAGACAGAGAGGCCAGAUUUCAAUCCAGUCAGUCUGACUCCACCCAUGACAAUCCAGAAGAGGCUAGAGGCUCAUUGACCAGGCAUUCUAGAAGGGAUUCCUGCAGUGUUCUCCUUGAUAUGACAUACGUAGACAGCUCCAAAGGACAGAAGACAUGAGUUUGGAAACCAACCGAGAUGUCUCCAGGUGGCUCAGGGUCCCCAUCAAGGUGGAACCAAAUGCACCACUCGCUCAGGCUGCUGAUAGCCCCCAUCCAUGAACUCUUUCAGGGUCCUUAAUUUCAGCUUCCUUAUUUGUCCACGUGAUUUCAAAUUCCGCAACCACAUGUAACUAUUCCAAAAGUCAAAGAGGAGAGAUUUUAAAUAAAUAAAACACUUACCUGAAGAUAAGAUGUUAUCUAAGAAAAUAAUUGAUCCUGGCCGGGCGCCGUGGCUCACGCAUGUAAUCCCAGCACUUUGGGAGGUCGAAGCGGGCAGAUCACCUGAGGUCGGGAGUUCGAGACCAGCCGGACUAACAUGGAGAAACCCCGUCUCUACUAAAAAUACAAAAUUAGCUGGGUGUGGUGGCGCAUGCCUGUAAUUCCGGCUACUCAGGAGGCUGAGACAGGAGAAUCGCUUGAACCUGGGACGCCGAGGUUGUGAAAUUGACACCACAUUGAUCACAUCUGAGCUCUGGAAAAAUAACAAAGAACCAGUCCUUUAUCUCCAAGGGUGCUGCUGUCAAACAGUAACUAUUCCCUACCUGACCACUGUGUGGUGCUGCUUACUUUUAAAUUGUGUG